rnacentral:rRNA from 1 species
UACGAGGGGGGCAAGCGUUGUUCGGAAUUAUUGGGCGUAAAGGGUGCGUAGGCGGUUUGGUAAGUCUGAUGUGAAAUCUAUGGGCUCAACUCAUAGUCUGCAUCGGAAACUGCCGGGCUUGAGUGUGGGAGAGGUGAGUGGAAUUCCUGGUGUAGCGGUGAAAUGCGUAGAUAUCAGGAGGAACACCUGUGGCGAAAGCGGCUCACUGGACCAUAACUGACGCUGAGGCGCGAAAGCUAGGGGAGCAAACAGG